rnacentral:rRNA from 1 species
AGAACAACAGGGAUGCCCUAGUAACGGCGAGUGAAGCGGCAACAGCUCAAAUUUGAAAUCUGGCCCUCGGGUCCGAGUUGUAAUUUGUAGAGGAUGAUUUUGGUUAGGUACCUUCCGAGUUCCUUGGAACAGGACGCCUUAGAGGGUGAGAGCCCCGUACGGUUGGAUGCCGAGCCUCUGUAAAUCUCCUUCGACGAGUCGAGUAGUUUGGGAAUGCUGCUCUAAAUGGGAGGUAAAUUUCUUCUAAAGCUAAAUACCGGCCAGAGACCGAUAGCGCACAAGUAGAGUGAUCGAAAGAUGAAAAGCACUUUGAAAAGAGGGUUAAAUAGUACGUGAAAUUGUUGAAAGGGAAGGGCUUGUGACCAGACCUUUGCCUUGCGGAUCAUCCGGUGUUCUCACCGGUGCACUCCGCUUGGUUGAGGCCAGCAUCAGUUUCGGCGGCGGGAUAAAGACUUCAGGAACGUGACUCCCCCGGGAGUGUUAUAGCCUGCUGUGUAAUACCGCCGCUGGGACUGAGGACCGCGCUUCGGCUAGGAUGCUGGCAUAAUGGUCAUCAGCCACCCGUCUUGAAACACGGACCAAGGAGUCGAACAUUUAUGCGAGUUUUUGGGUGUUAAACCCUCAAGCGUAAUGAAAGUGAACGGAGGUGAGAGCCCUUACGGGUGCAUCAUCGACCGAUCCUGAUGUCUUCGGAUGGAUUUGAGUAAGAGCAUAACUGUUCGGACCCGAAAGAUGGUGAACUAUGCGUGGAUAGGGUGAAGCCAGAGGAAACUCUGGUGGAGGCUCGCAGCGGUUCUGACGUGCAAAUCGAUCGUCAAAUCUGCGCAUGGGGCGAAAGACUAUCG